CAAGGUCGAUACCUCUGCUGGUGGACGAUCAGUCCCUGAGGGUAUCAUCAGCUCAGUAGUCAGUCAGUAUUUCGGUACUGACAUGAUUUAACAAACUCUACUAAAAUUGUCCGUUUAUAAAUUUUGAAAUUAUUAAGAAACUAAGGUUUCAACUCCCUCAGGCAAAGUUGGCUUUAGAUGAAUUUGGCUAUUUAUUUUUGGUAUUUUUGACAUAUA
rnacentral:lncRNA from 1 species